rnacentral:rRNA from 1 species
GGCCGCACGCGCGCUACACUGACGGGGUCAGCGAGUUCCUUGGCCGAAAGGCCCGGGUAAUCUUGUUAGCCCCCCGUCGUGCUGGGGAUAGAGCAUUGCAAUUAUUGCUCUUCAACGAGGAAUCCCUAGUAAGCGCAAGUCAUCAGCUUGCGUUGAUUACGUCCCUGCCCUUUGUACACACCGCCCGUCGCUACUACCGAUUGAAUGGCUCAGUGAGGCGUCCGGACUGGCCCAGGGAGGUGGGCAACUACCACCCAGGGCCGGAAAGUUCUCCAAACUCGGUCAUUUAGAGGAAGUAAAAGUCGUAACAAGGUCUCCGUUGGUGAACCAGCGGAGGGAUCAUUACCAGAGUGCCCUAGGCUCUCCAACCCAUUGUGAACUUACCAAACGUUCCCUCGGCGGGCUCAGCGCGCGGUGGCCUCCGGGCCUCCGGGCGUCCGCCGGGGAAAACCAAACCCUGAUUUAAUCGUAUUUCUCUGAGGGGCGAAAGCCCGAAAACAAAAUGAAUCAAAACUUUCAACAACGGAUCUCUUGGCUCUGGCAUCGAUGAAGAACGCAGCGAAAUGCGAUAAGUAAUGUGAAUUGCAGAAUUCAGUGAAUCAUCGAAUCUUUGAACGCACAUUGCGCCCGCCGGCACUCCGGCGGGCAUGCCUGUCCGAGCGUCAUUUCAACCCUCAGGCCCACCCUUCCGGGGGAGCGGGCCUGGUUCUGGGGAUCGGCGGCCCUCGCGGCACCCGUCCCUCAAAUUCA